rnacentral:lncRNA from 12 species
GGGGGGGGGGGGGGGGGGGGGGGGGGGGGGGGGGGGGGGGGGGGGGGGGGGGGGGGGGGGGGGGGACAGCGGGGAUGGGGACAGUGGGGAUGGGGACAGUGGGGAUGGGGACAGCGGGGAUGGGACAGCGGGGAUGGGGACAGCGGGGAUGGGGACAGUGGGGAUGGGGACAGUGGGGAUGGGACACCGGGGAUGGGACAGCGGGGAUGGGACAGUGGGGAUGGGGACGCCGGGGAUGGCGACAGUGGGGACAAAGCCAGCGGUGGCUGGGGGUGUCAGCUCGGCCCCAAGAAUCCUGAACAGGAACAGGGACAUGGCAACGGGAACAGGGACAGGGACAGUAGGGACAGGGACACACGGCAGGGAUGGAGGAGCUGGGACAGGAUGAAUGGCAAUGGAUGGAACCCUUGGGGACAGGGACAGAGACAGGCACAGGGACAGGGACACGGACACAGGCACGGACAGGGAUGGAGCAGCUGGGACAAGGCCACGGUCAGUGGGGACAGGGACACACGGCAGGGAUGGAGGAGCUGGGACAGUGACAGAUGGCAAUGGAUGGAACCCUUGGGGACAGGGAGGUGGCAACAGGAGCUGGGACAGGGACAUGGAAUGGAUGGAGAAGGUGGGACAGGGACACGACAGGGAUGGAGGAGUUGGGACAAUGGAUGGAACUGUUGGGGACAGGGACACAGGGUCGGAUGGAGGAGCUGGGACAGGGACAUGUGACAAUGGGUGACACCAGGGGGGCUCAGCCCCGUGGGAAGGACCUGCCAGGGACCUGUCCCCACCCGUGUCCCUUGGGGUCACACAGGAGACACGGACACCACGAACUUGGGGAGACGGGGACAUGGACACCAUGAACUUGGGGACUAAGGGACACGGGGACACGGGGACACCAUGAACACAGGGACAUGGCGACACGGGGACACGGACACGGACACCACGGACUUGGCGUCAUGGGGACCCAGGGACACGCAGAUGCUGCGCCACGUCCCCUCUCCAAGCCGCGUCCCCCCUCCGUGCCAUGUCCCCUCUGUCCCAUGUCCUCUCUGUGCCCUGUCCCCUCUCUGCCAUGUCCCCUCAGUCCCCUGUCCCCUGUCUCUGUCCCCUGUCCCUGUCCCCUGUCCCUGUCCCCUCUCUGUGCCCCUCCCCGCUCCGUGCCCGGCCCCGCCGGGGGGGGGGGGGGGGGGGGGGGGGGGGGGGGGGGGGGGGGGGGGGGGGGGGGGGGGGGGGGGGGGGGGGGGGGGGGGGGGGGGGGGG